GACAGAGGGUGCAAACGUUGUUCGGAAUUACUGGGCGUAAAGCGCAUGUAGGCGGCCACGCAGGUCGGAUGUGAAAUCCCUCGGCUCAACCGAGGAAGUGCAUUCGAAACCGCAUGGCUGGAGUCCCGGAGAGGAAGGCGGAAUUCUCGGUGUAGAGGUGAAAUUCGUAGAUAUCGAGAGGAACACCGGCGGCGAAAGCGGCCUUCUGGACGAGGACUGACGCUGAGAUGCGAAAGCGUGGGGAGCAAACAGG
rnacentral:rRNA from 1 species